UAAAACGUUUCUGCCAUGGAGUCAUGC
rnacentral:piRNA from 1 species